rnacentral:rRNA from 1 species
UACGGAGGGGGCUAGCGUUGUUCGGAAUUACUGGGCGUAAAACGCGCGUAGGCGGACCUGCAAGUCGGGGGUGAAAGCCCGAGGCUCAACCUCGGAACUGCCUUCGAUACUGCGGGUCUCGAGUCCGGGAGAGGUGAGUGGAAUUCCUAGUGUAGAGGUGAAAUUCGUAGAUAUUAGGAAGAACACCAGUGGCGAAGGCGGCUCACUGGCCCGGUACUGACGCUGAGGCGCGAAAGCGUGGGGAGCAAACAGG